rnacentral:rRNA from 1 species
UACCAGCACCCCGAGUGGUCGGGACGAUUAUUGGGCCUAAAGCAUCCGUAGCCGGUCCUACAAGUCUUCCGUUAAAUCCAGCUGCUCAACAGAUGGGCCGCGGAGGGUACUACAGAGCUAGGAGGCAGGAGAGGCAAGCGGUACUCAGUGGGUAGGGGUAAAAUCCGUUGAUCCAUUGAAGACCACCAGUGGCGAAGGCGGCUUGCCAGAAUGCGCUCGACGGUGAGGGAUGAAAGCUGGGGGAGCAAACCGG